AGAAAAAUUUUUAUAUAUGGUUAAUAUUUUAUGUCACAUUUUUGGAGCAUGCAUGCAUGAUUUUUAUGGGUAGAAAGUAAGUAAUGAAUAUUUUUGGAGAAUUUUAGAGAAUUAGUGAGUAGUAACUUAAGAUGUGAUAUUAAUUAAGGAAAUUAGAGGCAAUAGUUGUAUGGAUUAAAUUUGAAAUGGUGUUAUAUUAAUUAAGGAAAUUAGAAGAAUUAUUUUUAUGGAGUAAAUUUGAGAAUUUUGUUGUGUUAUAUACUAUUUUGAAGGAAUUUAAUUUGGAGAAUAUUUGUAGCCAUUAGAUUAGAUUUACAUUCAAUCCUAGCCAUCCAAUUUUGGUGAAAAGACCAAACUACCCUUUAGUCAACUCCAUUAUUUGAGCAAUAUUUUUCUUCCUCUUCUUCUCCAUCUAACGUGAACUUCAUCUUCUUCUCCUCCAUUUCACCUUUAGCCUCUCUUUCUCUUCUCUUUGUUUUCUCCAUUUUCUACUUGAAUAAUUCACCAAAUUCACUCCAUUUACCUUGAAUAAAGUAAGAAAAUCUAGAGAUUAAAGCUUGAGAAGUGGUUUUUAGGGAUUAAUUUCAAGGAAUUUGGAGAAUUCAUUAGGUGAAGUAAACUUCAUUAUUUUUGGAUUUAGAGUUUUCUUUUAGC
rnacentral:lncRNA from 1 species